UACGGAGGAUGCAAGCGUUAUCCGGAUUUAUUAGGUUUAAAGGGUGCGUAGGCGGACUUGUAAGUCAGCGGUGAAAUACUACAGCUUAACUGUAGAACUGCCGUUGAUACUGUGAGUCUUGAGUAUAGUUGAGGUAGGCGGAAUGUGUAGUGUAGCGGUGAAAUGCUUAGAUAUUACACAGAACACCGAUUGCGAAGGCAGCUUACUAAGCUAUAACUGACGCUGAGGCACGAAAGCAUGGGGAGCAAACGGGGAUUAGA
rnacentral:rRNA from 1 species